AUGGCUAUGGGGCAGGAGAGGCGCAUCAAGCUUCUCAUGGCAGUUGUCCUGCUCCUCACCUUGGCCAAAGGGAGCAGCUGCAACAGGACAUGCACCGUGGCGGACCUGGAGAUACGGCACAUCCAGGUCGACAGCUACACGCAAGAGCAAGAGCAGCAGCACAUGAACUCCGUCGGCGGCGGCGGGCGCAAGCUGAAGCAGCUGCCGAUGGUCAUGGCGGUGUGGGUGUACAACCACUGCCCGUGCAUGGUGGACAACGUGGUGAUCUACGCGCCCCACGGCUUCUCCACCAUCUACGCCAACGGGACCGACGAGAGGAUCUUCUCCAAGGUGACGGAGCACCUCUACCUCAUCCACCACGCCGGCCCGCUCCUGCCGGCGGCGAGCUGCCCGCGUUUUCCCCCCUCGCCGCCCGAGAACACAUCUGCCUCCGCCGCCGGCCCGGUCGAUGGGAAGGCGCAAACUGAAGAUUUUAGCUGCCCGUCGACCGCUUUCUUCUAUACCUGGUACGAUGAGAUCGAGCUCAAGCCUGCCUUCCUCGUGCCUCACUGCUAG
rnacentral:rRNA from 1 species